GCAAGUCGAACGAGAACGGGUAUUAGCUUGCUAAUACUGUCAGCUAAGUGGCGCACGGGUGAGUAAUAUAUAGUUAACCUGCCCCAAAAAAGAGAAUAAUUGUUGGAAACGACUUGUAAAUCUCUAUAUGCCUUUAUUACAUAAGUAAGCAAGGGAAACAUUUAUGGCUUUGGGAUGGGACUGUACGGUAUCAGUUAGUUGGUGAGGUAAUGGCUCACCAAGACAAUGACGCCUAACUGGUUUGAGAGGAUGAUC
rnacentral:rRNA from 1 species